UGCUGCAUUAUGAUUUUAAAACAGUUGAGCCAUAAUAAAAAAGAUGAUCAUACUAGUAAUGAUGUUCAUCAUAAGAGUUGAUAUUUGCUAAUGAACUUUUCAACAACUGUGAUCAGCGAUCUAAAUGCAUUUCCUGUUUCACAUGAGGCGUUUGCAAUUCAGUGCUCACAACGAUACAGAAAAAAUCCAAACUCAUACAUUUCUUAUGCAACAGUCCAUAGAAUCUAUUUAUGCUUUCUUUUCCUGAUAGAAACUUUGCACUGGUAGUAUAUUAAAAAUAAACAUUAGCCCUCACAGUUUCAACAUUAUGAAUUUGUAACAUAUGGAAUAAUUAUCCUCAGAGAAAAUCUACAUUGUACACAAGUUUACUUUAGGUCCCACACUUAUAAAUUAAAAUAUAGUCUGAAAUGCAUCUUUAACCAUCACUUAAUUUUGACCAGUACUAAGUAGAAGUAAAUCUACCAUGUAAACAUUUUAUAGUAUCUUCCUCUAAAUCUCUCUCAGCUACUUUAAUAGCUUAUUUCAAUAAUGUACACCCAUACAAUAUAAAAAUCAGAUUAAACAAUUAAACAUGAAUACACUACCAUAAAGCAUAAUGCCCAGGGAAAAGAGUUGAUUCACAAAACUGCUUUAAUUAGCAGGAUAGCUCAAACUGUAGUAGCUCAACAAGUAACAAGAAAAUCUGUCUUCUCAAUCAUUUAAAAAGUACAUAAAGAAUCCCAAGCAGCAAACACUGUUUAAAUCAAAUACUCCCCCUUAAUAUAUGACCCCUCACUAAAUGUGCACAGCAACAUUCACCUUUGGAAAAAAAAUAAAAAGUGUCCUUUCAAAGCAGUGGAGGAAGGCAGUAAUGAUCAGAGAACUGCCUUCUGUCCAGCCACUGGGACAUGCUACGACUGGUGCUCGCCAGAUCUAUGGCCAAGAAUAAAGUACCUAUUGUCUCAGCACUAUAGUAAUUGUGAAAAAACAGCCCAUGCAGUAAGCAUAAUAAUUAUCCAGACAAACAAGCAAAGGCAAUCAAUGAAGGAAUGAAAAGGAUAAAAAUACACGACUAGACAAAGCAACCCAAGAAUGAAAUUAAUAUUCAUAAUGGAAUGUUAGCCAGCCAGCCGAAGGUUCCCCAUUCAUGCCAUAGCGUUUGCAUACAAGAGACCAUUGUCUACACACAACAAAAUCAGUAUAUGAAGAAAAUUCAUGUAGCAUUGGUGAGAAGAAAAGCUUUUCUUUUCCAAAACACUUGCUCCUGGGUCCACUCUUUUGAUCAAAGAAAGUUUUGGACUCCUUCGCCCAGUAACAUUAAAAAGUUGUGUCUCAGAGUCCACCCUGCCUAGGUUAUUUUUUUUCCCUUUCCUUAUUUCCUCUUCAUUUGCAGCUGUAUAAAUAUGGGGAGGGGGGAAAGCCAAGCUUGCCCAAACAAAGAAAAAAAUGGACUGAAUAUGCAUAGCCUCGUUAACUAAAUUUAAUUAUGCCAAGCGGCAUAUUAAUCAGUAGUUGCUCCAGUUACUGUAUUCAUUGUAAGGGAGGAGGACUACAAAUGAAGGGGAAGUGUGGGGGACAGUAGCAUACUGAUUAGGAAGCUGUUCAUAACGUGAUACAAUACACUUUCUAAAUAAUUAUUCAGAGGAAACAGAAUAAAGCAGCAGAUUGCUCUGUUUUAAGACCAACUCAAGAACAAUUAGUCCAAAGCAUGAUGACAUAGCUGCUUUCUUUUUUUCCUGUGACUGCUUCCACCUCCACACUAUCAUCCCAGCAAGCUUGGCGCACACUGUAAAAUUUGCAUUUUGCUUUUAAAAAAAAAAUCUCAUGCUGUCCUCACUGUCUUUUUUAAAAAACGGCCCAUGUCAUCAAAAUGCAAGAGUAACCUUAUCUAACCCACAGUGAUAGUUAGGGCUCCCGGGAGUAACUGAACAUGAGCUUGAAACUUUUGCACGGACUCUGAACUUUGUAACACGUGCAUCGCAACAAUGAAGGAGGAGUUCAGAAAGGAGGAAAAAAACUUUUGGGGAGAAAAAAAAAAUGUUAUCAUGCCAACUUACCAUCCACCAAGUCCUGGCUGACAUGUCAUAACAUAGCUGCCAUUUUAUGGAGCUGUCCGACGCUUUCCCUGCCAUUAUGCUGUCAGCAACCUUCAUCAGAUGCAGCUCAAUGGAAGAUAAGACACCUAAUCAAGAAAACAUCAGCAGUGGCUUGCUGGGCUACAUGUAGGCCAAUCCUUAUCACACUGCAUCAUGGGAAAAGCUCCUUUAUUAGCAAGAACUCCAAUCUCACAGAUAUAAAGACAAGGAGCAGACAUGCUACAGCUUCUGCUUAUUUAAAGCACUUGGAGUUCUUGAACGAGGAUAAUGCAAGGAAUUCUGAGAGUACUUCACCUUGCUGUAAAAAGUUUCCUAACAAAAGAUCUUCUUGAAGACCAGAUGCAAAGCUGACUACACCAGAAAAGGAAGAGAUGUGAAAACUUAAUACGAAAAAUCAUGUAUGAGUUAUCAUUUAAUUUAAUAAAGACCUAAUUGAUAGCAAAAAAGAUUAAAUUUUUAUUCCUCAGAAUCAUGUAACUCUAUUUCCUAAAAACACAUCACAUUCUCUUAAAGCUUGAUGGCAUGGACAAUAAAAGCACAGACAUGGCCACAACCUACUGCCAGAGGAAAAAACCCAAUACAAAUUAGUAAAACAGCCAAAUGGGAGAGAUCAUGUUAUAACAUUACAAAUAAAUUGAAAUCAUAAACUUGA